AGGGCGACACAGGUAUCCAAGGCAUUCAAAGUGUUAAAGGUGACAAGGGACAAAAAGGAGUCAAAGGCCCAAAAGGAGAAGUUGGAGACAAAGGACUAUUGGGUCCACUAGGAGUCCAAGGUAAACAAGGCCCAGGUGGGGAGCCUGGAUCUUCAGGAGCCGU